UACGUAGGGGGCAAGCGUUGUCCGGAUUUAUUGGGCGUAAAGAGCGUGUAGGCGGCUUUACAGGUCCGUUGUGAAAACUCGAGGCUCAACCUCGAGACGCCGGUGGAAACCGUAAAGCUAGAGUCCGGAAGAGGAGAGUGGAAUUCCUGGUGUAGCGGUGAAAUGCGCAGAUAUCGGGAGGAACACCGGUGGCGAAGGCGGCUCUCUGGUACGUGACUGACGCUGAGACGCGAAAGCGUGGGGAGCGAACAGG
rnacentral:rRNA from 1 species